UUUUUUUUAAAUAAUGAAAGGGCCCAACCGGGUUCGAACCGGUGACCUCUUGAUCUGCAGUCAAAUGCUCUACCACUGAGCUAUGGACCCAAUUGAUGCGUGAAAGUGAUGCUACCAUUUUAAUAAAGAGAACGCCCAACAAUUCGUCUACUCCCCUCCGCCUCUCAUAUGCAGCAAAGAACAAUGAUGGUAAAGACUCGGCACGGCAUCAAAUACGCCGCAAAGGAUCCCUAACUCUCCAUAAUAUUGUCCGAUACACUGAGCUCUCUCAGAUGCGUGUGAAGAACUGUUUAGUGACCUUAAUCCAGCACAGUUGCGUUCAAGCUUUGCGCCUCGAUGAAACUGGUAGUUCCCAGAGUGUGCCAAAACAAAUUACUCGGUACAUGGCAUUGUUUGAUAAUUUAUAUUGUGUGUAGGCAUUGUUGAGGGUUUGCUUCAACAUGGUAGGCUUACACAGAAGCAAAUUGUUGAGAGAGCCAACUCAAGUCAUAAGGAAGGAAAUAGUAUAGGUUUGGAUGCUGUACAAGAAAACCUUCGCAAACUUGUGAUGGCCCAUUAUGUUGAACACUGCCUCACUCCUGAACCCGGUCUUGCAUCACCAACUGAAGAAGAUGCUCCUGCAAGGAAGCGAGGUGCUGCUAAGGUUAUUGCUUAUUUGCAUAAAAUUUAUUAGCAUGUUCUUGUCAUAUCGAACAAUAGUAACAGUUGACUUAUGCAUGAGCAACUAUUGAUUUAUCAUUGAACUAUCAUUUGGGUCUAAAGGAAUAUUUAUCUUCCAUAAAUGGAUGAUUAGAUUCCUUGAUUUAAAUAUAUUCCUUGACUUGCCUGUUAUCAAUGGAUUUAUGCCAUCUACAUAUUAUAGAGGUAAUUCUCAUUUUUUAAAUAGUUUUCUUCCUACUACUACAACUUUUUCUAGCAGCAGCAGUGCCAGUGGAAGCAAAAAGAUUUUCUACUGAACUAAAUGAUGAUGGAGAAAAAAAACAGGAUAAAUCCCCUGACAAACAUGUCGGAGACAAGGUUGUAUAUGAUUUUUUUUUUUUAAUUUUAAUUAUGAGGUUCAAUUGUACUAAUCUUUCGUUCUCAAUUUUGUAGCGCAAGCUUGCUGUUUCGGAGCCUCAAGUAGAUUGCAAUGCUGCAGAAGAUCAAGUAGUUCUUUGCCGUGCUAAGUUUGAGGAAUUUAUUCGUCGGCUUAGGCAUAAGUUUGGUUUGACUUAUAAUUUUCAUUUCAUUCUAAUUGUAUAUUCAAACGAAGGAGAACAUGAUGUAUUUCCAAUAAAUUUUGCAUUGGCAAUGUUUGAAAAGCUAAAUAUAAAUUUUAAAUUGUUUUCUUCU